rnacentral:lncRNA from 1 species
UUGUUGCAAUGCAGGCCAAAGCUUAACAAAUAUCAACUCCAAUAGCUCUACCAUGAAACUAACCCAAUCUAGCUUGAGAAUGAAAACUGUCAAAGGUUGCCUCCAGCUCCAUGUGUUUAUCCCACGAGUUUUGAGAUCUGUUGCAAAUUCUGGAUUUAUAUAAUCCCAUUGAUAAAUAUGAGAAAAAUGGUGAGGAUGCUGAAAAUCAUUAUAUCAACAUAAAAUCAUGAUAAUAAGUCAAAGUCAAAGGUAAUUACUUCUCCACCAAGACUGAAUUGCCAGAACCCAAAAAGGAGCUCAAAAGAUUACUUUGACUUUGUGUUGACAAAUCUGUUGGCAACUAGCAUUGUAACUAAAUAUCAGUUCAAACACUUGCAUAAAUCAAGCAUUCAGUAAAUAAAUUGAAGGUCUUACAGCUCAGGUGUUCCUCCUUGUAAGGCUAAAGCUCCAAUUCAGCAGUGGCAUUCCCAAAGAUUUGUCAUUCCCUAAUCUUACAUCAACACAGAAGCAAAGGAUAUAAGAAAAAACAAUCUCACAAAUAACCAAUCUUUCUAAUGAAUCAAGAUAUGAUUGAAGGAAAAUGCAGCAAGUAUUGAGAUACCAGAUGAUACCAACGCUGGAACUAAACAAUGAAGCAGAACCGAGUCCAC